rnacentral:rRNA from 1 species
UACGGAGGGUGCAAGCGUUGUCCGGAUUUAUUGGGUUUAAAGGGUGCGUAGGCGGCAGAUUAAGUCAGCGGUGAAAUUCCACAGCUCAACUGUGGAACUGCCAUUGAUACUGGGUUUGCUUGAGUACAGAUGAGGUAGGCGGAAUUGACAGUGUAGCGGUGAAAUGCUUAGAUAUUGUCAAGAACACCUAUUGCGAAGGCAGUUUACUAGCUGUAACUGACGCUGAGGCACGAAAGCGUGGGGAUCAAACAGG